GCGCCAAAAGAUAUCAUCCCUCAUUACUCCGUCUGAUAUGAGCGUAAAAUUGGUCGUCCUAAUAUCCCGUUCAAUAUAAGCGCCAAAAUACAAAUUCUUGAUACCCCAUCUGGUAUGAGGCAACGUUCGAGUUCCCUAUGUACCUGGUCCGUCCACCAUCUCCCAAGAUAUCCAGUAAGGCUACCAUUCAUGCAUUCACUUAAUCAAACAAUUUCUCGUUUACCUUUAAUUUUUAGUUUUUCAAUUACUAUAAAUAAC
rnacentral:lncRNA from 1 species